rnacentral:tRNA from 1 species
GGUUUGUAGCUGCGUGGUAGAGCAUUUACCUAGCAUGCAUGAGGUACUGGGUUCUAUCCCCAGCACCA